rnacentral:rRNA from 1 species
CGCCCUAGUGGCGGACGGGUGAGUAACGCGUGGGUAACCUGCCAUAUACAGGGGGAUAACACUUAGAAAUAGGUGCUAAUACCGCAUAAGCGCACAGGGGCGCAUGCCCCGGUGUGAAAAACUCCGGUGGUAUAUGAUGGACCCGCGUCUGAUUAGCCAGUUGGCAGGGUAACGGCCUACCAAAGCGACGAUCAGUAGCCGGCCUGAGAGGGCGGACGGCCACAUUGGGACUGAGACACGGCCCAAACUCCUACGGGAGGCAGCAG